rnacentral:lncRNA from 1 species
AUUGCGUGUCGUAACCGCGCGUCGUAAAUGCGCGUCGUAAAUGCGCGUCGUCUCUCUUUAUGACAGGGCCUUCCUUGACACGCAUUUGCGCGUCGUCUGAGCGUUUUACGACGCGCAAUGAGCGUCGUAAAAGGCCUUUUUUCUAGUAGUGGGCCCUUUAAUAAUUUUGGACAUAGACUUUGGGCCCAUUAACAAGGAAAGGAUAAUUGGGCCUCAUGGAAGGGUUGGAGUUUUGGGUUUCCUUUGAUUAAUUAAGGUCCUAACAUUGAUUAAUAUUAUUAUUCACCACCGGAGGUUACAGACUGUUAGGAGAGCAGCUUUCGAAUUCAGCAGACAGAGGUGAGUUUCCUCACCAUACCAAUGGGUCUAAGGCAGCAAGGCCGGCCUACUUCAUGAUAUGUAGAGUCCUAGCUAUAAUAGAAUUAUUUGUUAUGAUAGAUUGUAUGAGCUAGGAAGUAUGCUUGUAUUAUGUGUGUCAAGUUGGUAUCGAAGACCAUGGGAGAGCCCAUGACACUCUGAUGUAAGACCAUGUGGAGAGCCCUUGGCUUUCCUAUUAAAGACCAUGGGAGAGCCCAUGACACUUGGAUGUAAGACCAUGUGGAGAGCCCAUGGGUUUCCUAUCAACGAACAUGGGAGAGCCCAUGGCACUUAGGUGUAAGACCAUGUGGGGAGCCCAAGGUAUCUUGGAGUAAGACCCUGGGGACGAGCCUACGACAUCCCUAUCAGUUGUAUGCAUGGCUUAUGUGAUUUGUAU